CCUACGGGGGGCAGCAGUGGGGGAUAUUGCACAAUGGGGGGAACCCUGAUGCAGCGACGCCGCGUGGGUGAAGAAGCGCCUCGGCGCGUAAAGCUCUGUCAGCAGGGAAGAAAAUGACGGUACCUGAAGAAGAAGCCCCGGCUAACUACGUGCCAGCAGCCGCGGUAAUACGUAGGGGGCAAGCGCUAUCCGGAUUUACUGGGUGUAACGGGGGCGCAGGCGGCGAUGCAAGCCAGAAGUGAAAGCCCGGGGCUCAACCCCGGGACUGCUCUGGAAACUGGGUGGCUGGAGUGCAGGAGAGGCAAGCGGAAUUCCUUGUGUAGCGGUGAAAUGCGUAGAUAUCAGGAGGAACACCAGUGGCGAAGGCGGCCUACUGGACUGCAACUGACGUUGAGGCCCGAAAGCGUGGGGAGCAAACAGGAUUAGAUACCCGGGUAGUC
rnacentral:rRNA from 1 species